GAUUCUAAAACCCUAAGAAU
rnacentral:snRNA from 1 species